rnacentral:rRNA from 1 species
UUUAUGGAGAGUUUGAUCCUGGCUCAGGAUGAACGCUGGCGGCGUGCCUAAUACAUGCAAGUCGAGCGAACAGAUAAGGAGCUUGCUCCUUUGAAGUUAGCGGCGGACGGGUGAGUAACACGUGGGUAACCUACCUAUAAGACUGGAAUAACUUCGGGAAACCGGAGCUAAUGCCGGAUAACAUUUGGAACCGCAUGGUUCUAAAGUAAAAGAUGGUUUUGCUAUCACUUAUAGAUGGACCCGCGCCGUAUUAGCUAGUUGGUAAGGUAACGGCUUACCAAGGCAACGAUACGUAGCCGACCUGAGAGGGUGAUCGGCCACACUGGAACUGAGACACGGUCCAGACUCCUACGGGAGGCAGCAGUAGGGAAUCUUCCGCAAUGGACGAAAGUCUGACGGAGCAACGCCGCGUGAGUGAUGAAGGUUUUCGGAUCGUAAAACUCUGUUAUUAGGGAAGAACAAAUGUGUAAGUAACUGUGCACAUCUUGACGGUACCUAAUCAGAAAGCCACGGCUAACUACGUGCCAGCAGCCGCGGUAAUACGUAGGUGGCAAGCGUUAUCCGGAAUUAUUGGGCGUAAAGCGCGCGUAGGCGGUUUCUUAAGUCUGAUGUG